rnacentral:rRNA from 1 species
AGUGAGGAAUAUUGCACAAUGGGCGAAAGCCUGAUGCAGCGACGCCGCGUGGAGGAUGAAGGAUUUCGGUCUGUAAACUCCUGUCAGUAGGGAAGAGAAUGGACGGUACCUACUGAGGAAGCUUCGGCUAACUACGUGCCAGCAGCCGCGGUAAGACGUAGGAAGCAAGCGUUGUCCGGAAUUACUGGGCGUAAAGAGCUCGUAGGCGGGAUCGUAAGUCUUAGAGUAAAUCUCACGGCUCAACCGUGGGGCCUUCUGAGAUACUGCGAUUCUUGAGGAUGUCAGAGGAAAGUAGAAUUCCCGGUGUAGCGGUGAAAUGCGUAGAUAUCGGGAGGAAUACCAGUGGCGAAGGCGACUUUCUGGGACAUUCCUGACGCUGAGGAGCGAAAGCGUGGGGAGCAAACGGGAUUAGAUACCCCGGUAGUCCACGCGGUAAACGAUGGAUAUUAGGUGUGGGAGGUAUCGACUCCUUCCGUGCCGUCGCUAACGCAUUAAAUAUCCCGCCUGGGGAGUACGGUCGCAAGGCUGAAACUCAAAGG